UACGGGGGGGCAAGCGUUGUUCGGAAUUCCUGGGCGUAAAGGGCUCGUAGGCGGCCAACUAAGUCAGACGUGAAAUCCCUCGGCUUAACCGGGGAACUGCGUCUGAUACUGGAUGGCUUGAGUUCGGGAGAGGGAUGCGGAAUUCCAGGUGUAGCGGUGAAAUGCGUAGAUAUCUGGAGGAACACCGGUGGCGAAGGCGGCAUCCUGGACCGACACUGACGCUGAGGAGCGAAAGCCAGGGGAGCAAACGGG
rnacentral:rRNA from 1 species